AGGACGAACGCUGGCGGCGUGCUUAACACAUGCAAGUCAAGGGGGCCCAGCAAUGGGCAACCGGCGAACGGGUGCGUAACACGUGAGCAACCUACCGAACUGUGGGGGAUAGCCGGCCUAACGGCCGAGUAAUACCGCAUACGCUCUCAGGGAGGCAUUUCUUUGAGAGGAAACCUACGGGACAGAUCGAGGGGCUCGCGGCCUAUCAGCUAGUUGGCGAGGUAACGGCUCACCAAGGCAACGACGGGUAGC
rnacentral:rRNA from 1 species